GUUCGGGUUGUCAUGCCAAUGGCACUGCCCGGUAGCUAAAUGCGGAAGAGAUAAGUGCUGAAAGCAUCUAAGCACGAAACUUGCCCCGAGAUGAGUUCUCCCUGACUCCUUGAGAGUCCUGAAGGAACGUUGAAGACGACGACGUUGAUAGGCCGGGUGUGUAAGCGCAGCGAUGCGUUGAGCUAACCGGUACUAAUGAACCGUGAGGCUUAACCUUACAACGCCGAAG
rnacentral:rRNA from 1 species